UUUAACAAUUUUUUCUAUAUUUAUUUGUGGUACCACAGUUGCACCAUUUAAGGGUAACAUUCCAAUGACUUCCAAAUAUUCUUCAAUAAAUACAGCGUCAUUUAAGCUGUAAUCGAAUGAACUAACGUGGACCUCAAAGUGAGCAACCAAGAGCACUUCGGAAAGAGUUAAUUAAACGAUUCUAGUCUUGUACGUUCGCCCGUGUCGAGGAAUGUCCACGUCUAAUCGGAAACCGUUGAAUAUUUGUAGCAAAGGACGAAUCGAUGGCGAUGCACUUGCUGGAUCAGCAAGAACAGGACGCCCAAGGUGGAAGACAGGCACGUUGAUCGAAUCCGUCGACGUGCUGCAGGAAGAUGGAUGGUACGUCGACUGGGGACUCGAAACGCGUCACAUCCACAGGGAACAAUAGAGCAUGACGCAUCUCAGACGCUGGUACGCCUACGUCACGGUUCAGCGUGCAUCUUAAUCAGCCCCGCUUCUUGUGCCGCCCGCCUCUACUGUUUUUGUUUUCCUAGCGCACGAUCGUUCAAUGGAAACCGUAUACGCCUGAACACGCGCGGACAGCGUACUGCAAGCUGCGACCUAAAUGCACAGGGUGUACCGAUUCGGACGGGAUUCCUCGGGAAACGAACGAAGGAGCGACGACGCAUCGCGUCCCAUUUCUCCUGGAGUAGCUACACGCUCGCCGGCACGUACUUCUCGGGGCUCGGUCCUCUUUCUCAGGUGUCUUUAUGACGGCUAGCUAGCCCGGAACUCGGAGUACGGCCCAAGUGGCACGUAGCCGGAGAACAGGGCCUCCGAAGUAAGCUUCGAAUGAAAUUCUUAAUUGGACGCAUCGCUUCGUGGAAGAUGGCACGCGUGUCGCUCGUUCCAGAGGCAGCCGAGGAUCCAAACUCACACGCACGUGAUUCGGUUAAAAGAGAAAAGAACGGAUUCCAGGGAAACGGUGGAGUCAGAGAUAAGGCGCCGCUGGAUAGGACACUAGUUUCCGGAAAACUAGCUGGCACAAAGUACGCGAUUAAUUCGUGAGCCAGCGUUCGUGGAAAUCGAUGCGGCCGAAUUUCUUGGAACUCUUGUGUUCGCCAGGAAAGUACCCACACUCGUGAUCUGGAUUAGCGAUCGAUAGUUUCCAAUCGGCCAGAUAGGCACUUCAAAAAUCGGAUUCAACGCGUUGGGAAAAGUGUCUAAUCUAAGAAGACGAACCUGUGUUCAGUUCUCCCGAUGCCAGAUCGAUCGACGCGCAGAGUUCACGCAACGUCUCGCCAAUUGCAAGAAACAAUUUCGCCGAGUCCGCGUCAAAGAUCGAGCUGCACGCUGAACGCAAAAUCGUGCCGCGGGGACACGGAUUGCAACAUUCGCGUGUUGCAACGUGUUUAGUGUUUUCGCCCGUACUCGCGGCGAUACGGUCGGAUCGCGGCGUUUAUUUCUGUCCUCGUUAUCGGGGCUCUCCCGAUGCUAACAAUAAGCCAACGGGAGAGAAGGAAUAAACGUUAAGUAGUAAAUCCAGUGCGUGCGCUACACCUUUAUCGCGCGCGAUCGUUACCCGCCCGAUGUACCGGUCGUUGCAAAACGGCGCUCGCGUUUCUCGGACGUUUCUCGGACGUUUCUCGGACGUUCCUCGUCUGGGACUCCGCGACGAAGAGUCUAUUUAAACUUCCAGCAGCUGUGAACGCUAUAAAUUCAUCGAAAUAUAGAAGCCGGCGAUACGACACACGGUUAACCGACAGCGCUCGAGGAAAGUUUACUGGAAACGCGUCGACUCUCUUUUGAAGCGACCUGUACACGCCGCUCGAGAGGUGCAGACGUUGCGGCUACGCGCGCGCGCGUUAUUGUCACGCCGGAGACCGGAGAGAUCCGAAUUCCGUGGAAGCUGUUCGAAUUCUUUCGGCUACUCGAGAUCAGCCUGCUUCGAAAGGUCCGCAGCUUCCGGUUGCUCGGCUGACACGCGGGCCAAUUAUCCCAGCGAGACCCAGCCAAUUACGAGCUAACUGCCCGCAGCGACCGGUCGCCGAUCACGGGCCGUCUCCGCGUGUUCGAGUCGGAAGGAAAAAGGCAAAAGAAAGUAGAGUUACCUGUGACCUAACUCGCGCUUAUCGGAUCGUGCACCAUGACCGCUGCCCUCGUUGUAGCAAUCCAGGUCCUGCUCGCUACGAUCGUUCCUGGUCAACCUGAUCCCGGGAUUUAAAUCGAAACCGAGCAGCGAUGGUUGGAAGGACUCCACGGGGAAGACGCUCGACUCGUCCGGGAAUCGGACUUUCCAGCCUGCCUCAGAACAUUCGAACAUGUUGGUUACUGGCCCGGCAACCCUCGGCCGAGCCGGAAGAACCGUUUCUUCCUAUGGCACUUUCAAGCGCAGCCGGGAACGGUUAACCGUUGGAAAACCGAUGGCGAACCCCGCGACGGAGUAGAAGAAAAGAACAUUACCGGUCCUUGUUAGCGGCGCGAGCUCGUCGACGUUGCGGAGGCUCAUCGUGCGAGGACAAUGGAAGAACUGGAUUCGAUCCCAACGACGUUUCACACGGCUGUUUCCGGGUACGGGGAGGUGACGAGCGUUCUGUGUGCGACGCGGCCGAACAACAGCGAAGCAAUGGAUCGGACGAAAGAUUUUUCGGCCGCCUAGCGAACGGCUGACACGCAAAUACUUGGCCGGAAUAGCAACAAAGAUAAGAAGGCUGCAGGGGUCAUUUGUGCGACGAUAAACAGGCAAAGAGGAAAAAUACGAAGAGCGAUCACGUUGAUCGUGGAAGGAUCCGAUCGUGCGGCGCCACGGAUCAAUUAUUCUUCUCCGAACGCCCGUCACGGCGAACGUGAACCUUGUGAACCAUGUCGAACCAGAUGUUCACUUUUAUUUCAACAUACUGCAAUUGGAUGAAACAACGCCGAUCCAAGUCUCAGAGUCGGAAACCAAAGAAGAAAAGUCUCAAACCCAUCGCUCGCAACGCCUGCACGUGUUUCAGCGUGUACGGUAGGUCUUUACGGGCACCGGUACACCCCGGCGAGUGAACCGUGUCGAAAUAAACACCGUGAACCGCACGCGGGGGCGUGAAUGGGACGUGAACAGGGAGAAAGGCACUUGUCGAUCCUCCGGCAAGUGGUUCACCGUAAUUGCGGCGUUAAGGCGGACACGGAAUUGAAAUAGAAGCCUAGAAAUUGAAAUCCGAAGCUCUCCGAGUAGGUUUCUCGGCUUCGCUUCUGUCUCGUUAUUAAAACGAUCGCGUUUGUAAACGAACGUUUAUUUAUAUGGAGCCAUUAACGGUGGAACUACAAACCAGUCCUAUUGAUUUCUUCCAGUUUCUUCGCAGACGCUCCGAGAGUGCAUCAAUCUGCGAGUGCUUCGACUGUACGAGUCGCACUUUCGAUCGGCGAAUAGCAAAUUAAUAUUGAAAACAGGACGAGGAAAGACGCGAACCAAUUAAACCCGCGUUCCUCGGGAUAGUCGUCAAACGGCGGAGCUAUAGUUGACUUGACGCACUGCCAAAUCAAUCUCUCCGGAGAAGCAUCCGUCGUCUUUCCAACAAUCGUAAAAGGAGAAAUCUGAAAUGAGCGGACCUCGGUCCAUCCGGCAGUUCUCGCGUUGAGCAACGCUCGAGCAUCUCGAAAUGGAAGGCGGCGCGUUGUUUUCAACGCGUCCGGAUGAGUCGCGUUAGCGUUUAUUGCGUCACGGACCUCGCCGUUUCUGCGUUCCGCGGGUAAACAGAAAUUUCGAACGCGAUCCCCGCAGUGGAUCGAUAAGGGCGCUAUCAUUGCGGAGGAACGAGGCUGGAGGCGAAUUUCGAGAUACGCGUCCGCGGCGACGACUAAUAAUACUUGCGAAGGCUUUGCCCACCCACGGCUGUUUGCUCUUUCGGUUCUUCGAUUUUCACUUGGCCGAAACUUCAUCAACGGACGGAGGUAACAUUGUCCAAUACUGGAAUUACCGGAUGACCAUAGUGACUCAUUCUAGAUGUUAUUUCUUGGAAUGAUUACAAUGUACAUUUGUAACAGCGUCACAAUUGUACCAUUUAAAGGUAACAUUUCAAGGACUCCCAAAUAUUCUUGAAUAAAUAAAUAGACCUCAAACUGAAAAACCAAGAGUUCAGACCGCAAAGGGUUAAGCCCUUAAUUUCAAACAAUUAAACGAAUCAUGAACGAUCGCUGGUGCCGAUAGAACGGACGUCCGCAGGCCUAGUGCGAAACAGGUUGAUUCAGUCGGAGGGAAAAUUGAAAUUGAAGUGAAACGAGAUACCCCGGCGAGCUGGUAAUUCCAGCGUUAAUUGAUAAGAGGCCUGAAUUGGAGGUUUCGGGCGGUCCGGUGUUUCUAAGUUAAGUUGAACGAGUUAUUUUUGCGCGUGUGAUCGAGCCGCCUCUGACACUGCGUAGGAUGUUUCGACUGGCCUUGGCGAUCUUAUGAAUAUCAUAAAAUCUGCUUGUUCGCCGGGCGCGCGCGCGCGCGGGCUCCACGGUUUUAUCAAUGAGCGCGUUCGCUCGCGAUUUUCGUACCGGCCGACCAUAAAUUAUUACCGCGGUGCACCGCUCCGAGCAAUUAGGGGAUCGUUCUCCCGGCCAUCGAAACCGUUCGAUAGGCCGAGAAGGUGGCAAUAAUGGUAAUUGCAACGAUAACGCCGGUAUUAACGGCGAGAACAGUGGCAACGACAGGGAUAAUAGGCAGCGGACGCCAGAGCCAAUAAAAAUAGGGAAGUCAACAGUAAUCAGGGAACAGCAACAAUGGAACUACUAUUGUUAUCUUCAA